rnacentral:rRNA from 1 species
CCUACGGGUGGCAGCAGUGAGGAAUAUUGGUCAAUGGGCGCGAGCCUGAACCAGCCAAGUCGCGUGAGGGAAGACGGUCCUAUGGGUUGUAAACCUCUUUUGUCGGGGAGCAAAAGACGCCACGCGUGGCGUUCCGAGAGUACCCUAAGAAAAAGGAUCGGCUAACUCCGUGCCAGCAGCCGCGGUAAUACGGAGGAUGCGAGCGUUAUCCGGAUUUAUUGGGUUUAAAGGGUGCGCAGGGGGGAGGUCAAGUCAGCGGUAAAAUUGAGAGGCUCAACCUCAUCGAGCAGUUGAAACUGGUUUUCUUGAGUGCGCGAGAAGUAGGCGGAAUGCGUGGUGUAGCGGUGAAAUGCAUAGAUAUCACGAAGAACUCCGAUUGCGAAGGCAGCAUACCGGCGUUCAACUGACGCUCAUGCACGAAAGUGUGGGUAUCGAACAGGAUUAGAUACCCGAGUAGUC